rnacentral:tRNA from 3 species
CGGGAUGUGGCGCAGCCUGGUAGCGCGCCUGCUUUGGGAGCAGGAUGUCGCAGGUUCGAAUCCUGUCAUCCCGACCA